rnacentral:rRNA from 1 species
AUGGCAUCGCUUCUACUCCUAGUGAGUAGCUCAUGGCUCCUCUUCUGCUCUCUCUUCCUUACUCCGGUGGCCGCCGAUCAGCGGGCCUCGUACAUUGUCCACAUGGACAAGUCCGCCAUGCCGCCAGCGCACUCCGACCACCGUGAGUGGUACUCCACCGUGCUAGCGUCUCUAGCAGCAGCAGCAGCCGACUCUUCGGGCGCCGCCAGUGGCGACCAGCCGCGGCUCGUCUACAUCUACGACGAUGCGCUCCACGGCUUCACGGCCACCCUCUCGGCCUCCGAGCUCCGCGCCCUGAGCCGCGCGCCGGGCUUCGUCUCGGCCUACCCGGACCGCCGCUCUGACAUCACUCACGACACCACCCACUCCACGGAGUUCCUCCACCUCAGCCCGUUCGGUGGGCUGUGGCCGGCAGCCAAGCUCGGCGAGGACGUCAUUAUCGGCAUGAUCGACACCGGAGUGUGGCCAGAGAGCGCGAGCUUCGAUGACGCCGGCAUGUCUCCCGUGCCGUCCCGGUGGCGCGGCACGUGCGAGCCGGGUGUGGCGUUCCCCGCCUCCCUGUGCAACCGGAAGCUCAUCGGAGCGCGCUACUUCAACAGGGGUUUGGUCGCCGCGAACCCCGGCGUCAAGAUCAGCAUGAACUCCACGCGCGACAGCAUAGGCCACGGCACGCACACAUCGUCGACAGCCGGGGGCAGCCCCGUGCCGGGCGCGUCCUUCUUCGGGUACGGGCUCGGCACGGCCCGUGGAGUUGCCCCGCGUGCUCAUGUUGCCAUGUACAAGGUCAUCUGGCAUGAGGGCCGGUAUGCGUCUGACGUGCUAGCCGGCAUGGACGCGGCCAUCGCGGACGGCGUUGAUGUCAUCUCCAUCUCAAUGGGCUUCGACGGCGUGCCGCUGUACGAGGACCCGGUGGCCAUAGCUGCUUUCGCCGCCAUGGAGCAUGGUAUCCUCGUGUCGGCUUCGGCGGGUAACGACGGCCCACGCCCCGGCAGUUUGCACAACGGCAUCCCAUGGCUGCUCACAGUCGCAGCUGGCACGGUGGACCGGACAAUGUUCUCUGGCACCGUGUCCUAUGGCAACACGACGCUAACCACCAUAACAGGCUUGACGAACUAUCCGGCGAACGCUUGGGUGGUGGGCACGAAGCUGGUGUACGACGACACCAUCUCGGCGUGCAACUCGUCGGCGUCGAUGGCAAACAUAACGACGAGCAUAGUCGUGUGUCGUGACACCGGGUAUGUCACUGAGCAGCUGAACACCACGAACGAGGCCGGCGUCGCCGGUGCCAUCUUCAUCACGGACGUCAAGACUUUUGAUGACACCAUGCCGCUCCCAGCCAUUUUCAUCAGCUCGAAAGACGCACCGGCGCUGCUGAGCUACAUCAACUCCACCAUGACCCCGACGGCGACAAUGAAGUUCCAGCAGACGAUCCUCGGCACGCGGCCGGCGCCGGUGGUCGCCGUGUACUCUUCUCGAGGCCCGUCCAAGAGUUACCCCGGCGUGCUCAAGCCGGACAUACUAGCGCCGGGGGACAGAAUACUCGCGUCGUGGGCGCCCGUAUCUCCACUGGGGCUGAUCGGUCAGACCUCGCUGGGCAGCGACUUCCUCGUGGCGUCCGGGACGUCCAUGGCGUGCCCGCACGCCAGCGGCGUGGCCGCAUUAUUGCGGGCGGCGCACCCGGACUGGAGCCCCGCCAUGAUCAAGUCGGCGAUGAUGACCACCGCGACCACGAACGACAACACGUUCCACCCGAUCACGGACGCCGGCGCCGGCUUCGACGGCAACGACAACGGCACCACGGCGAGCCCGCUGUCCAUGGGUUCCGGCCAAGUCAGCCCCAACUCGGCCAUGGACCCGGGGCUGGUGUACGACGCCGGGCCCAAGGACUUCGUCGAGCUGCUCUGCUCCGCGAACUAUACCACCGCCCAGAUCGCGGCGAUCACGAGGUCCAGGUACAACUGCUCCUUCUCGUCCAACGACGUGAACUACCCGUCGUUCUUGGCGAGCUUCGGCUUCUACGCCACCAGAGGGGAGAUGCGGUUCAGCAGGACGGUGACCAGCGUCGGAGCGGGUCCGGCGACGUACCACGCCUCAUGGGUUUCGCCGAGCAACGUGGCCGUGGCCGUGACGCCGGCGACGCUGGAGUUCAGCGGCGCGGGGCAGAAGGUUUCGUUCGAGGUAGACAUCAAGCUCACCGCGCCUACUCCCGGAGGCAAGGCCGCCUACGGGGCCGUGGUGUGGACCGACACCAGCGGCAAGUACCGCGUGAGGACACCCUACGUUAUCCUUUGA